rnacentral:rRNA from 1 species
ACGCAACGCGCAGAACCUUACCAGCCCUUGACAUGUCUAUGAUCGGUACCAGAGAUGGAACCUUCCCUUCGGGGCAUAGAGCACAGGUGCUGCAUGGCUGUCGUCAGCUCGUGUCGUGAGAUGUUGGGUUAAGUCCCGCAACGAGCGCAACCCCCGUCCUUAGUUGCUACCAUUUAGUUGAGCACUCUAGGGAGACUGCCGGUGAUAAGCCGCGAGGAAGGUGGGGAUGACGUCAAGUCCUCAUGGCCCUUACGGGCUGGGCUACACACGUGCUACAAUGGCGGUGACAAUGGGACGCUAAGGGGCAACCCCUCGCAAAUCUCAAAAAGCCGUCUCAGUUCGGAUUGGGCUCUGCAACUCGAGCCCAUGAAGUUGGAAUCGCUAGUAAUCGUGGAUCAGCAUGCCACGGUGAAUACGUUCCCGGGCCUUGUACACACCGCCCGUCACACCAUGGGAGUUGGUUCUACCUGAAGGCAGUGCGCUAACCGCAA